ACCCACGGCGGGGCGGGCACGCUCCUUAGGGCUGCUUUCCCGGGCGGUCGCCGUGCCACACCCAGUCCUGUCCCCGGGCGCGGUGGCCACGGGCGACUUGUCUUGAGGCGCACCCACGCCGUGCCGGGCCUGAAGGGCACCGCGCCUCCUCGGCCGCCGAGAGUCGCUCGGCGCUGCCCUUAGCAAAGAUGGCCGCGCCCCUCCUCCCGCUCCAUCCCUAGCCCGGCCGGUCCCGCAGCCGCUGGAUGCUCAGCGGCGCGUCCCCGCCGCCCAAGACAGCGCUCCCUCCCGCCGCACCAGCUCCUGGCGCUCCCGCCGCCGCAUGGCCGAGGCUGCCGGCUCUGCGGGCCGCCCCGCCGCGGGCAGGUGCGGGGCGAGCGGCGCGGCGGCGGCCCGAGCCCGCUGGCGGCUGCUCGGACAGGUCCUGAGGAAAAAGCACUUGAAAGAUGUGCAUCUCCAACAAGUAUCUGUCAGAAGGUUUGCAUCAUUCAAUCUCUUUUCAAUAGAAGACCAGAACGCAGAAGAGGAAACUGGGACCUGGGUUCAGUAUAGAAGCAUCUUUUAUCCCAAGUACAGUGUCUCCUUAAGAUUUCACAAUGGCCUCUUAAAUGUUAAAGAUGUUCUUACAAGUUUUGACAACACGGGGAAUGUCUGUCUCUGGCCAUCUGAAGAAGUGCUGGCUUACUACUGCCUAAAGCAUAAUGAAAUAUUCAGAGACCUUGCUGUGUGUGAGCUAGGGGGUGGCAUGACAUGCUUGGCUGGGCUCAUGGUUGCUAUUUCUGCAGAUGUCAAAGAAGUUCUGUUAACUGAUGGAAAUGAAAAGGCCAUCAAAAAUGUAAAUGAGAUAAUCACAAGAAACCAAAAUGCUGGAGCAUUUAAGGCUCAGAAGGUGUCAAGCUGCAUUUUACGAUGGGAUAAUGAGACAGAUGUCUCUCAACUGGAAGGACAUUUUGACAUUGUUAUGUGUGCUGACUGCCUGUUUCUGGACCGGUACAGAGCUAGCCUUGUUGAUGCAAUAAAGAGAUUACUCCAGCCCAGUGGAAAAGCAAUGGUAUUUGCUCCACUCCGAGGGAAUACUUUAAACCAGUUUUGCAAUCUAGCUGAAAAAGCUGGUUUCUCUGUCCAAAGACAUGAAAAUUAUGAUGAACACAUUUCGAACUUCCACUCCAAGAAAUAUGUAAUACUUUUGUGUUGAUCAGAAGAGCACACGUAAUGUUGUCUGUCCCUAGCAGCUGGAAUUGUACCACUCUAAUUAUCAAGUUAUAAUUCUCUCUUACAAAAAGAAUUUUCAAAAUUAAACAGAAUUAAUAUAUCAGCCCAUCAAUAACUGCAUUACAGCCUUGCACUUAUGUAAGCUUCAGUUGAAAAAUGAAGAAAAAGAUACAUAUGAGGAAAACCUCCAUUACCCUUUUCUUCUCAUUUUAACCAAACAGACAUAGAAGAUUACACCUCUUUUUGUUAAGAUGGACUGCUGAAAAUUAUUCCAUGUAUGUGGAUGGUCAGGCAAUGUGGAAUGUUCAUUUUCCUCCAUUUAUGUCCCUGAAUCAUCAUUGGGGAAAUAUUUCUAAUCUAAACGCUGAGAAAGAUAUUGUGGCUCAUUUUGCAGAGUAUAAACACUGAGACAUCUUUUUUUUGGUAUCAUUUUAGAAGGUAUUUUUCCAAUUGUAUUCCAGCCUUAAAAUGAUUGGACUUCACAUGUAUGCAUUAACAAAGGUGUAGAGCUGGCUUCCUUCUCUUUUGUGCCUUUAAACUUGCAUGUACUUUGUUGAUCUCUUUAAAUGCUAUUUUGAGGUGUAUUUGAAAAUAUAUGGAUAAUAUACUAGGUGGGCUUAGAUAAUUGGUUGUAAAGAAGUGAAUGCAUUGACACUUAAUUAGUAAGGAAAUAGUUAUCUGAAGAUCUUCUUAAAGUGCACCUAUUGAAUGCUUGUAUUUUGCUGCCUUUUUUUUUUUUUUAAUUCCACUGUUGAUUUUUCAAUCCAUGAUUGAAAUGUCCACAUUUGCUUUAGUGUUGAAGGCCCCUUUUCUAUAUGUGUGUAUGUAUGUUUUUUUCCAGCAGGACUUUUCCUCCUGUAGAUGUAUAAGAAAUUAUGCAUCAGACAAAAGCCUCAUAAACUGACCAUUUGUCCUUUGGACACAAUAGCCUGCCCAGCCCCUCUGCUCCUCCUCUCCAAUUAUGUGUGAUUAGUCUCAGUGUGUUGUGUCAAGAAGGGGGAGUGUGCUGAGUGCUUAUUAUCUGUUUAGGUACAAGAAGAGCACAUUUAGGUUCUGACUAUGAAUGGAAAGUGAGUCUUUAUCAGGACUAAAAUCUAAAUGCUACUAUCCUAGAAAUUGCUUUCAAAAAAACAUGGUUUUUUUAAUAAAUUCCAAGAAACACUGUAAGAACUAAAGGAUUUUGUAAUGUAAUCAAACUAUCUCCCUUGAAUUAGUUUAUUUUGUGAUAUAUUUUGGCCCACAUAUUUGAUGUACACUUAAUGUGAUUUUUCUUGUACUAGAAAAGACAAAAAUCCUACAAAAAACCAGGAGCAGUAUCUGAUUUCUUAACAGUUUUACAGACUGUUUUAAUGACUUCUCAGUAGUAGUCUUUAAACCACAACACUUUUAAAAUGUUGAAAAAAGAGAGGCAGAGAGCAUGAUUGAGAGAGAUAGGUACUAGCUGCAAGCAAGUGUAGAGAAUCCUGCUGAAAUACAUUAAUUAAAAGAAUUGCAAUUUGACAAGAAGCAUUCUUCCAUAUUUACCUCAUUGGCCAGCAUGUAAACCACAAGCUCCUGAAAGUCUCUUGCUCUUCUGCUUCUUCCCAAAUAAAUUUCUUCACUGCCAGUUUGCACAUCCUUGUAUUCAGUACUUUUUAUGCUCCAUUAGAGCACCUAGAUGGAUCUCAGAAGGCAUAGGUCAAGUCGCAGUUAGAUCAUACAUUUCUUUCGCACAAAAACUUGAAUUGCAAUGCCAAGUGAUGGGCUAACAUCACAAUAACAGCAAUUUAUUCCUCUUUUGAUAAAAAGCAGCCUAUUCUCGGUGUUAGAUAAAGACCAGGGGCAAUGCAAACCAACCAUUUAUCCUAGAACUGAGCAGUAUAGCUGGUAUGAGUUUCAUAUUCAAACUCCUGUUGGAAAAUACUUGUGCAGUAAGAAAUCAAAAGCAUUUAGGAGUAAUUUGAAAUUGCUGUGAAGAUGGCUUUAGUGUAAUUAGUUUUGUUUUGUUUGUCCCACACAGCAGUGCCUUUGUUUCUCUAAAAGCAUGUAGAAGGAAAUCUUCAUCAUCAACAAAGCAGUGUGGAAAAUAGCGCAAUAUUAAAAUUUGCAAACCUUUUAUUUUUGAGAGGACUUGAAUGUCUGCUGUACAAUAAUCUAAUAAAGAUUGUUAGUGGCCAAAAAUA